ACGGAGGAUGCGAGCGUUAUCCGGAUUUAUUGGGUUUAAAGGGUGAGUAGGCGGAUUAAUAAGUCAGCGGUGAAAACCUUCAGCUUAACUGGAGAACUGCCAUUGAUACUGUUAGUCUUGAGUACGGUCAAGGUAGGCGGAAUGUUUAAUGUCCAGGUUGGUUGCUUAGAUAUUACACAGCGCGCCGAUUGUGGUCGCAGCUUACUGGGCCAUUCCUGACUCUGAGGCACGUCUGCGUCGGGAGCGAAGAU
rnacentral:rRNA from 1 species